ACACGUCUACAUUAGAUACCCGGGAGUCCCAGCCGUAAACUAUGCGCGUUAGGUGUAUCGGUGACCACGAGUCACCGAGGUGCCGAAGGGAAACCGUGAAACGUGCCGCCUGGGAAGUACGGUCGCAAGGCUGAAACUUAAAGGAAUUGGCGGGGAGCACCACAACGGGUGGAGCCUGCGGUUUAAUUGGACUCAACGCCGGGAAGCUCACCGGAUAAGACAGCGGAAUGAUUGCCGGGCUGAAGACUCUGCAUGACUAGCUG
rnacentral:rRNA from 1 species